UCUUUUUCUUCUUACUUUUUAAAAUGUGCUGCUGGAAAAUUCUAAAUUACACACGUGGCACACUCAGCUGACACUGGCGCUCUCCUUGAGGCAGGGUUGGCCUCAUUGGCUGCUUAGCCUCAUUGACUUUUGCUGUUGCCGUAGAAGGCAGUGGCCUGGAAAACUCUCCUGAGAAGCUGCACGAACAACCCCCAGAUUCUCCCUCACUCUGCCACAGCUGUGGCUGCACCAAGCCACUGGAGCAGCCACUAAAAGCUGGGCAGAAAGAAGAGGGAUGUGAGAAAGCACGGGGCACCCGGCGUGGCCAGGCCCGGGGAGAGGCCCUCAAAAGGGGACACACACCAGCUACCCCCCAGGUCCUGGAGGCCAGCGACUCCUGCCCAGUCCCCACCGCAGCAGGUCCGUUUCUCAACUGUUUGCCCAGUUAUGAAUUAACUACAUUUGGGAAACCCUCUCCAUUUCUCUCUUUUGGUUUAUUUUCUCCCCUUUCCAAAUUUCUUUUUGGCCGCUUUCCUCCGUUCUCUGCCUGUUUAUCUCAUCCCGCAGUGAGCACGCCUUCCCCUUGUGGCCAGUUCUGCCCUGUCCUUCACCUCUGUGCCUUUUGUCAGCGACCUCAGCUGAUGCGCGGUCAGACCCCUAAGAGCACGGGGCUGCGAUGGUCCUUGCAGGAGAAAUGUGAAUGCCACAAACAGCUCAAGGUCCUGGACUGAUCAGGUGACCGGACUGUGACCAGAGGCUAGCAGGAACCUAACUGCGUUUCCCUCCGGAGAAUGGCUCGGGGUUCCAGACAACCUUAUAAAACAGCUGCACGGGAACAGUGACAAUCAGCCGUGUCCUCCUUUGUCCACGAGCUCCUAGUGCAGUUUGCUGGCUGUCCUGGAUUCUCCGGGGUCCCCAGACCCUCUGAUGUCCUCUGUCUCAAAUGCAGAGUUCCACUCUCUUACCAGCCAGGUGCCUAAGCCAGUGGUUAGCAGCUGCUGGGGACCUCGUCAAAGAGGGUGCGGGGAGUUGAACUGUGGCAACCCCAAAAGAUAUCCCCUCUCCCCAAGGCAGAGCAACACUCCCAGGACGAGAGGCACCCCACAAUCCUUGGUCACAGGACCAAUCAGUAGAUGCUCUCUUCAAUCCUUCAUUUGCAUGUGGGCACAGCCAAUCAGAAGGCGAAAUUCCUGAUCCUUCAUUUGCAUAUGGCAGGAAGCCAGACAGGCUUCUUGAUAGGACAGUUUUCACUGGAAUGAGCCAAGUGAAUGGUGGACAGGACGGCUGUCCCAAAGCCUUAUUUGCAGGGGACAGAUAACCCAGGAAUCUUGGGCACAAAGGAUCCCUUCCCUUAUCCUCAGGGCUGCUGUGAGCCUUUCCACUGGCUGCUCUCACUCUGCAGAGCAGGCUUCUUUCCCACCUUCAGUAAAAGUGCACCUUCGCUGCCUCUUUGUGAGCCUUGACCAGUUCUGUGUUGAGGACACCAGGGACCUGGAACAACAGAACCUGCAUCCCACAAUAGCACUGGGAAUACGUAUUUGAAAAAAGCGUCUUUGCUGAUGUCAUUAAAGAUCUUGA